rnacentral:rRNA from 1 species
AAGUGCUGAAAGCAUCUAAGCAUGAAGCCCCCCUCAAGAUGAGAUUUCCCAACUUCGGUUAUAAGAUCCCUCAAAGAUGAUGAGGUUAAUAGGUUCGAGGUGGAAGCAUAGUGAUAUGUGGAGCUGACGAAUACUAAUCGAUCGAAGACUUAAUCAAUUUUAAU